rnacentral:piRNA from 1 species
AUGAAGCUAAUCACAUACUCCUUCAGUCGG